UACGUAGGGUGCAAGCGUUAAUCGGAAUUACUGGGCGUAAAGCGUGCGUAGGCGGUUCGUUAAGUCAGCUGUGAAAGCCCCGGGCUCAACCUGGGAAUGGCGAUGAAGACUGCAAGGCUAGAAUCUGGCAGAGGGGGGUAGAAUUCCACGUGUAGCAGUGAAAUGCGUAGAGAUGUGGAGGAACACCGAUGGCGAAGGCAGCCCCCUGGGUCAAGAUUGACGCUCAUGCACGAAAGGCGUGGGGAGCAAACGAG
rnacentral:rRNA from 1 species